GAGGAGUAGGGGCAAGGGCCGGCCUGCGUAGCGCCAUAAACCUUACUUUUUCUCGUGUUUUCCUUCAAACUACAAUGACGAGAAGAUCCACAGCCUGUGAGAAGAAGGUGGAGAGGACAGGGACGGCCAGGGAAAGGAAGGAACACCGCAGAGAAGCCUUCAUGUGACGAAAGUGCCCUUCCACCACACCACCACCACCACCACACCACUACCACCACACAACCACUACCACUACCACCACAACCACACCACCACCACAACCACACCACCACCACCACCAAAUCACCGCACUAAGCGUGAAGAUGUCAGGUCGUGACGCGGUCGGCGCACCUUCCAGAACGCCAACCAGGUGGUGGAGUUGACCACACGCACCAUUCCCAAGGCUCAACACCACCACCACCACCACCAGCGAGGACAUCAACACCAUUCACCACCACCAUUGAAACCAGAUCACACCACCACCACCAGGCCCCUGCGUUACUGCUGAUAAGAAGAGAUCAUCCCUAUCUACCUCAUCAAACGGGGGGCUUCGUGGUGCAGUGGUUAGCACACUCGGCUCACAUCCGAGAGAGCCCAGGUUCGAUUCCCGGGCGGAGUUGAAAAAUUUGGGCGGCUUUUCCGAUACCCUACGCCCCUGUCCACCCAGCAGUGAAUGGGUACCAGAUUGGCUACAGUGGAGGUCGUGGCAGAGAGUGUACUCAAACUCCUACUGUGAGCUACUCCUGAUGCCUGCGCCCUCACCACCCCUGUGAAGGACGCCCAGCUGACCCAACCCUCCUCGGUGUGUGUUGAUGCUGGGACCAAGAAGAAGAAGAAGAAGAGGAA